CCCCUACUCGGAUGUCUUGAAGUCCCAGCGAAGGCACAUUCCUUGCACCAAUGGAAUAUGAGAUCAAUGUUGUUUCCCACCAUGUUGAUGCCAGUCACAAACAAGCCUGUAGUGACCUUGAGAAGGCCAGCCAAUUCAUCGCAGAAGCAUUGAAGAUAAAUGCCAUUUUCCACCAUGUUGAUGCCAGUCACAAACAAGCCUGUAGUGACCUUGAGAAGGCCAGCCAAUUCAUCACAGAAGCA